CAACGCGGUGGCGCAUUGCAGAAUGGCGGCGGCAGCUGGAGCUUGCAGGGGCCGGAUCCAUGCGUGGUAGGGGCUGGGGAGGCAGACCCGGAGGCGGGCGGCAUGGCGGGAAUCGCCGGUGACGACGAGGAAGGCUGGAGCGCGCCUUCCCGGGUGGGUUCAUGGGAUCCACGGCUAUUGGGCAGAGAGGAGACAAGGAGGCGUGGGAGAGAAGAAGGGAGAAAGGAAGAGCGGUGUGGCGACCUAGGCAGGAGCUCGCCGGAGCCGGGCGAUGGCGGACGGGCGCGGGAGAUGGAGGGAUCCCAUGCAGCGGCUCGAAGUCCUUGCUCGUGGCGUCGACGGCUGGGCGUGCGACGACACAGAGCCCUCCCGUUGCUACGGCGUCCGGUGGAGUGCCCUGAGGGCGCGGAUGCUGCUGCUACACCAGCACCACCAGCCCAAGGUCAGCCUCCUCCACCUCGUUCUGUAGCGCUACUCCCGUCUCGCACCAUGCUGCCUUACUUAUGCCCCUUUGGAUUGGAGAGCAUGUGCUCUCAACUCUGCUGGGCCAGCUGUGCUCUGUUGCAUGCGAACAAGGGAGAAGAGUGAGCUUGUUGAUUCUUCUUACCUGUAGCUCCAACACGAAAGCCAGCCAAUCGACUCUUGAUAGCAGAACACAAGCAAUACAAGUAAACAGAAUUCUAAGACAGCCAAGGUGGAUGAUAGUAGCGGAAGUAAUUACUGAAGAAAUGUUUACGCAAAGAACAUUCAUUUUCACAUCACUUGGGUGCUGGUUCAGGCUGAUGUGUGCAUCUCCAAACGAAGAAGAAGCAGAUAUCCACUAAGAAGAAACUCAUCUGAGUUCUCAAGUUCAAAUCAAAUUGGCCAGCUACGUUUCAAAGUAUGAGAUGUGGUUGGGCUUGCAUCCCCUAUGCCAAGCCUACCGAGUUCACUAAAGCAACAAGCAGGGGAUCACCUUGAUGCAUAUCGCCAUCACAUUCAGACCCAAAGAUCUGGGAGCUGCAGUCUAGGCAUGAUUAACUGGGCAGUGCCAAAGUGAAGCUUCCGGAUGGUGGUGACAACAAUGGUGGCUGGAGGCGACGGGGCUAGCAGCGUUUCACGGUAGGGCGCGUGGCCAGUGCUUGUGGCGGUUGUGGAUGAUGAAGUACUGGACCUGCGAUGGACGACCAUCCGCAAGAUCUACAUCAUCAUCUUUGGGUCAGUUCGCCAUGAAGGCCAUUCUACGAACGAGGUAAAUAUGAGAUCCCUGAGUUUUGUGGCAGCACGGAGCCACGGAGCGUUUCUUCCCUACGUCACCCCUCCACACCUUAAUAAUAACUCAUUUGAAGGAGCCCACUCACACUCUUGCUAACGCCCAGCUGCAGCAAGAACGACGCCGGUGGCAAGCAGGAGCGAUGGGGAUACCAGCCGUCAAGAGCGACGAAGGAUGGCGGUGGUCGGUGUCCACAGGUGAUGCACGCCCUAACGCUGAGCAAGCCUCAGCAGGUGGCACAACCGCGUUGCCGACUUGCCGGUGAAGCAAAAAGAAUAAGGUUGAUGGGAAUGGGAAGAGGCUAGCAAUGGCAAAAGGGACAGAAAUAUUUUUAAAAUUUUAGUGGCAUUUUGAGAGAAUACCUAGCAAAGACAAAGGGAAGAGAGCUUUGGAUCGCAUAAGAGUAUUAGUGCUCAUUGUUAAGUGUGUAUAGAAUAUUAGAUUUUGCAUCAAAUUUUAUUAUGCUCUAAAGUUCAUCCCACCUUGAUUUUUUUCGCCCUCC